AUGUAAUGUAAUGCCUACAAUGUUAAUGCACUGGAUCCCAUUAGAAAUCCACAAUUAGGCGUCCUUGGGAUAUAGUAGUAUUGGGAUGAGCAACCUCAUGAGAAUUUCUAGUGUUUUACAUU
rnacentral:rRNA from 1 species